rnacentral:rRNA from 1 species
AUUGAACGCUGGCGGCAUGCUUUACACAUGCAAGUCGAACGGUAACAGGCCGCAAGGUGCUGACGAGUGGCGAACGGGUGAGUAAUGCAUCGGAACGUGCCCAGUCGUGGGGGAUAACGCAGCGAAAGCUGCGCUAAUACCGCAUACGAUCUAUGGAUGAAAGCGGGGGACCGUAAGGCCUCGCGCGAUUGGAGCGGCCGAUGUCAGAUUAGGUAGUUGGUGGGGUAAAGGCUCACCAAGCCGACGAUCUGUAGCUGGUCUGAGAGGACGACCAGCAACACGGGGACUGAGACAGGGCCCAGACUCCUGCGGGAGACAGCAGUGGGGAAUUUGGGACAAUGGGCGAAAGCCUGAUCCGGCAAGGCCGCGUGAAGGAAGAAGGCCUUCGGGUUGUAAACUGCUUUUGUAGGGAACGAAACGGCUCGGUUAAAUACCUGGGGCUAAUGACGGUACCGAAAGAAUAAGCACCGGCUAACUACGUGCCAGCCGCCGCCGCGGUAA